rnacentral:rRNA from 1 species
GUGGUUUUAAUUCGAAGCAACGCGCAGAACCUUACCACGCCCUUGACAUACCGGUCGCGGACACAGAGAUGUGUCUUUCAGUUCGGCUGGACCGGAUACAGGUGCUGCAUGGCUGUCGUCAGCUCGUGUCGUGAGAUGGUUGGGUUAAGUCCCGCAACGAGCGCAACCCUCGCCCUUAGUUGCCAGCAUUUAGUUGGGCACUCGUAAGGGGACUGCCGGUGAUAAGCCGAGAGGAAGGUGGGGAUGACGUCAAGUCCUCAUGGCCCUUACGGGCUGGGCUACACACGUGCUACAAUGGUGGUGACAGUGGGCAGCGAGCACGCGAGUGUGAGCUAAUCUCCAAAAGCCAUCUCAGUUCGGAUUGCACUCUGCAACUCGAGUGCAUGAAGUUGGAAUCGCUAGUAAUCGCGGAUCAGCAUGCCGCGGUGAAUACGUUCCCGGGCCUU